GACAGAGGGGGCAAGCGUUGCUCGGAAUUACUGGGCGUAAAGGGCGCGUAGGCGGAAUGGCAAGUCGGUCGUGAAAUCCUUCGGCUCAACCGAAGAACGUCGAUCGAAACUGCCGUUCUUGAGGAUUGCAGAGGAGACUGGAAUUCUCGGUGUAGCGGUGAAAUGUGUAGAGAUCGGGAGGAACACCGGUGGCGAAGGCGGGUCUCUGGGCAAUUCCUGACGCUGAGGCGCGAAAGCGUGGGGAGCAAACGGG
rnacentral:rRNA from 1 species